CAGUAGCCGCGGGAACACGGAGGGUGCAAGCGUUAUCCGGAUUCACUGGGUUUAAAGGGUGCGUAGGCGGAUCUGUAAGUCAGUGGUGAAAUCUCCAGGCUUAACCUGGAAACUGCCGUUGAUACUAUAGGUCUUGAAUUUUGUGGAGGUUAGCGGAAUAUGUCAUGUAGCGGUGAAAUGCAUAGAUAUGACAUAGAACACCAAUUGCGAAGGCAGCUGGCUACACAACUAUUGACGCUGAGGCACGAAAGCGUGGGGAUCAAACAGGAUUAGAUACCCCCGUAGUCCCUGUCUCUUAUAC
rnacentral:rRNA from 1 species